CCCUGUGGCUCAGUUGGUAGAGCAUGGUGUUUGCAACGCCAGGGUUGUGGGUUCGAUUCCCAUAGGGG
rnacentral:tRNA from 1 species